CAGAGUUAAAAGUCAACCAAGGUGGUAACAGCAUCACUUGCAAUUAGCUGCUGUGUUAACCCAUGUUGCCUUUUAUACCAGCUGUGUGCUUUAAUAUACAGAAAAAUUGUUUUUCCAAACAGUCUUACUGUACACUGCCACAGCUGAAGAACACACAGACUACUUGGACCCUUAUUCUCCCAAAGGAACAUUGGGAACAUUGUAGCGGCUAUAAUUCAUGUCAGAAAGUUUAUUUUAAAUGUCUGAACGUUCGACACAAACAAACAGUUUCUAAUCAUUUUCCUAAUGAUCUGCCUAAACUGUGUUUUUUACUGACUUCUUUCACAAGCCUGUAUACCUGUAUAUUUUUAUAUUUCUUUGUAAAUUCUAGUUUGUAAUGAAGCCAUGGUUAGUCAUGAUCUGAUGCACCAGUCAAAAACCCAACAGUGGCAGUUUGGCAGUGCUGGGAUUUUUCUGAUCAGUAAGUCAGAAACUUAACCACUAAGCCAUCACCAUGGAGUCAUGCUGGAAUUCACAUUGCUUUCACAUAAUAUACACCAAAUAAUAACAGAAACAAUUUGUUCAGGAAACUGUUUCCUAGCUGUCUGUGCUCUUUGUUUUUUGUUUGUUUGUUUGUUUGUUUUUAAGCAUAAAAGCUGAACAGUAGGCAAGGUGGCUUAGUGGUUAGCAAAUAUGCCUCAGACCUCCAGGGUUGGGGGUUUGAUUCCUACCUAUGCCCUGUGUGUGUGGAGUUUGCAUGUUCUCUCCGUGCUUCGGGGGUUUCCUCCAGGUACUCUGGUUUCCUCCCCCAGUCCAAAGACAUGCGUUGUAGGCUAACUGGCAUAUCCAAAUUGCCCAUAGUGUGUGAAUGGGUGUAUGAUUGUGCUCUGCAGUGGGUUGGCACCCUGUCCAGGGUGUCCCCCCACCUCGUGCCUCGUGGAUAGGCCCCAGGCUCCCCGCAACCCUGUGUAUGAUAAGCAGUACAGGAAAUGGAUGGAUAGAUGAAUGAAUGAGUCUUCAUUAAUCACAUACAUAUUACAGUAGAGUGAAAUUCUUUUUUGCAUAUCAUACCAGCAAGUUAGCGUCAGAGUACAGGGUCAGCCAAGAUACAGCGCCAAAAGGACUUUGCUCAAGGGCCCAACAGUGGCAGCUUGACAGUGCUGGGGCUUGAACCCCCAACCUUCCCAUCAGUAACCCAGAGCCUUAAACGUCAUGCCACCACUGCCCCUAUGGAUGGCUGGAUCUAUCUGAACAGUAGCCAGCAGAAGGUCAUUUAACUGACCAAUGAAAUGACCUCACUUCACAAUCCACUCAUGUCACACACAGUUUGUGUGUCUGUGUGUGUCCUAAGGUUGAAAUAUCUAAAGAGAAAUACAGACCAUGUUAACAUGAUGGACAGAUGAGGACACUUCAGCAGACAGCAGAGAAAGAAAGAGACCAGGAGAGAAAGACUGAAACACUCCGCGGCCAAUUUCUCUGGACUGGACACUCAAGCCCGGUAAUUCAUGGGACAUCAAUCCUACCGUCCAUAUAAACACACCGACCAGAUGAGCAAAUCAGACAGAAUGACUCUUGCAAUCUAGUGGCCCUUUUUCAAGGACACUCUGUAACAGGGUAAAACUGGCCUGUA
ensembl:lncRNA